ACAACUUGCCCAGGCUCUGCUCUGCCUCCAGGACUUGCCAACCCUUGGUUGCCUCUGCUGAUGCUCAUAACACCGGGGCAUUCUGGAGUCUUCUUUGACUAAGGAGCGGCUCAAGGCCUCCAGCUCUGUCCUCACACUCCUGUCGAGUGCAGUUAACAACGAAAAUUACUUCACACGCUGCCUGCAAUUUCCAUACACAGGACUUCAGUGCUUUGGUGGAUGGAAGGAAGGAAGGAAGCCUGGAGCAUGCAGAGGGGAAGAUGAGGCACUCGGAUACCAUGGUGAUGAGCAGCUGAGACCUUGUCUGCUGUGCCAGAGCCCGGCCUGGCUGAGACAGGAGCCCACAGAGGGGGAAGGACAGAGAUAAAGUGAAGUACUCUGGACCAGGGCCACCUCCUGAGGAGGGUGUCAAGGUGCUGGCUCCACUCCACACACUGGAGCAGCUCUGCUUUCCCACACUCCCAAGUUUUGGGCUCCCGUGCUUUCCCAGAGAAAUACAGCUGUUGUUUGCCCAGGCAGAUUCUAAGCCUGCCACACUCAAUAAUUCAGUGGUGAACUUUGGAGCUGCGACCAGGUUGAAAAAAAAAUAACUUGCUUUAGUAAGUACGAAAUCCCCAUCCCUGCUGCCUUCGCCUCUCCCUCCCUCCUCCUCUCGGGCAGCCCCUGCGAUCCAACCACUCCCCGCUCUUACACGGAGCGCAAAGGAAAGGCGGGCGGGGAGGGGGAAAAAAUUCAUUUCCUCUCGGUGGGAUGUUUAUUGUUUUUCCUGCCCUCGGCAGCCCGAGGUCCCUGUCGUUUUCUGUGGUGUUUUAUAAAGGGAACGGUUCUCGCAGGCACCGAGGAGUUUAUCCGCAGAGACACCCGGAGCCUGGAGAUUUGAGUUUCCACCUCGCUGACGCCGCUGUAAUUGGGGCUCCCGGGAGAGGAAACCCUGACAAGUGACACAAAUAAACCCUGCCAGACCCCUCUCAAGACCUGCAGCACGGUAACCCCAGGAGGGCUCCCGUGAUCAAAUUACCCUUAAACAAAUGCUUCUGCAGGAACCGAGGAUGUAACUGCUGAAGGUCAGCGAGGUGCACGUGGGACGUGUUUGCUGGGUUUGAGUUCCCAUCACCCGCUCCAAAUCAAGGACCAGGAGUUGCAGCACCGGCAAAAUGGAACUGGGGGAAGCUGCAAAGCUAAUUAAACCUCGUUUCUCCAAUUGUCUAGGAAUACAUUUAUUUAGGCCUUCCCUACGCCUCUAGCUAUUCAGGCAUAAUUACAGCAGCACUGUUUCCCUGAAUAUAAAUGAAUAAUAUAAAGCACACACGUUUUCUUUCCUGUGAACUGAAAUUUGGCAAGGUCUAUGACGUUCUUUUGGAGAGCUGAUGAAAACAUUUUGAAGAUGUCAGCAUCUCAGGUUAGGAAAGAUUGAUAGGCAGAUAGAUAUGGAAAUACAGAUAUAUCCAUAGAUAUAGAUAUAUAAAAAUGAUUUACAGUUUGCUUUCUUUCUCCCACCCUUUUGCAGUAAGCUUUUUAGGGAAUGGCUUAUUGUAUAAAUACAUGUAAUUUCCAUGUAGGAGGAAAAAUAAUUAAUACUGAUGUAAGUGUCAUUUAAACAGCUGGCAGGGAGUGUAUUUCAGGUGCUGCACUGCUUUAACCGAUGGUUAAAACAAGAAAAGUCCCCAUAACUGCCUCACAAACUGGUGUAAAAAUUCUGUACUGACCUUGUACAGACCACAAAUAGCUCCUUCUGACAAAAAUAGUAAGGCAGAAAUUACAGAUGUAAUACAAAAAUCAUGGGAUGAAAUUCUCAGACUGGGUUAUGUAGGAAGUUCAAAUUUGAAGACCAAAAGAGUUCAUAAUUAUUGAUUAAAUUAUUAUUAUAUGUUAAUUUAUUCUGGAUUUCCUCCAGAAGAGGCUGCUGGGUUUGAAACAUAAUCUUACAUAUUAGUUAGCACAGAGCUUUGUUGUAAGCCCAAGGCCUGGAAGAAUCUGUAAGUUCCACGAAACCUUGAUGGGACUCAGGAACUUCAGAUUUUCAUAGAAGGAAUUAGUCAUGGUGUCAAGGGACUCCUUUGUUCCUUGCUGAUUGUUUGUCUCUUAGUCAUUAAGUGAAGUUCACAUUCCUGGAAGGAGCCCUGUUGACAGCUCAUCUCUUGGGGUUUUGUUGCAGCAGAAGCAAGUCCUGGCCCUGGAUCUCCUGUCAUUCCAUCCUCCCUGUGAGCUGAACUCUUCCACAGGAGGAACAGUUUGUGCCAAGAGGUUGGCAUUCCCCGGAACAAAAAUCCCAUUCCGGACUCAUCUCCCUGCAGCUUUUCAUAUCCCUGUAGUAAAGGACAAAGCCCAGGGAACUUUUCUUGAACGACAUCCCGGGGGACGGGAGGAAAAUCUCCAGCCCUCAUCCAGUCCCAGUGUCCCAGUGCAGGGAGUGUCCCAAAGGCACUUCAAGGUCCUGAGGAGUCCAAAGUGUCCCAGGAGGUGCAGCCACCCUACCAUCAACUCACACAUUCCCAACAGGCCCAAGUUUUCCUGCUGUCCCAGUCCCUCAGGGCCCCAGGCCAUGCUGUGCUGGUGGUAAAAAUCACGAUCACAGCAUCGGACUUUUGUGUGUUACCCUCAGCUCACAAUCACCACAAGAUGAUUUAAUUGCAUGAGAAAAUGUUCUCUUUAAUCUUUUAGAAUUAGUCAUCUCUUCCUCAGUCAUCUCUCUAUAUUUUUGGUUAGAGAGACUGAAAAUCUUAAUAUAUCAGUGACAUUUAUAGCACAUGUUAAUAUUAUAAAACGUCAGAGCUCUAUUUGCAGAAAUGAAUACUGAUGUGAUGGGAGUGUUUUAUUAUGUCAGUGACUUUUAUUAUAAAUAUGAUAAA